rnacentral:rRNA from 1 species
GGGUGACGAGCGGCGGACGGGUGAGUAAUGUCUGGGAAACUGCCUGAUGGAGGGGGAUAACUACUGGAAACGGUAGCUAAUACCGCAUAAUGUCGCAAGACCAAAGUGGGGGACCUUCGGGCCUCAUGCCAUCAGAUGUGCCCAGAUGGGAUUAGCUAGUAGGUGAGGUAACGGCUCACCUAGGCGACGAUACAUAGCCGACCUGAGAGGAUGACCAGCCACACUGGAACUGAGACACGGUCCAGACUCC